CUACCCUUUGGCAGCACAUACAUGACAAUCAGAACAAUGCAGAGAUUAGCAUGGCCCCUGUGCAGGGAUGACAUGCAAAUUCUUGAAGCGUUCCAUAUUAAA